GAAUAAAAAAAGACCGAAUACGAAUCCUAUAUUCGGUCUAGGGAAAGGCUCUUGUGAAAGAGCCGUGCGCUAAAAGUUGGCAUUAUGCACGACUUGUUCAGCCAUGCACUGUAAGAGUAGCCCAGCCCCUCUGUUUUGCCAGCCA
rnacentral:sRNA from 1 species